rnacentral:rRNA from 1 species
ACUCCUACGGGAGGCAUCAGUGAGGAAUAUUGGACAAUGGGUGGAAGCCUGAUCCAGCCAUCCCGCGUGUAGGAUGACGGCCUUAUGGGUUGUAAACUACUUUUAUCUGGGGAUAAACCUACUUACGUGUAAGUAGCUGAAGGUACCAGAAGAAUAAGCACCGGCUAACUCCGUGCCAGCAGCCGCGGUAAUACGGAGGGUGCAAGCGUUAUCCGGAUUUAUUGGGUUUAAAGGGUCCGUAGGCGGAUUAAUCAGUCAGUGGUGAAAUCUCAUAGCUUAACUAUGAAACUGCCAUUGAUACUGUUAGUCUUGAGUGAUGUUGAAGUUGCUGGAAUGUGUAGUGUAGCGGUGAAAUGCUUAGAUAUUACGCAGAACACCAAUUGCGAAGGCAGGUGACUAAACAUUAACUGACGCUGAUGGACGAAAGCGUGGGGAGCGAACAGGAUUAGAACCCUGGUAGGCUCU